UUUGAUAAAACAUUUAUCCACAAAGAACAUAAUUCUCGGUUUUUCGGAAAGCGAAAGAAUCUCUUUUUUGGCCCGAUAAUGUCAUUUUCAUAAUUUAUACACCCGCUCACAGCGCAUUGAACCAUUUUCGAUUUUUCAUUUCAGGAACAUUUACGCGUAAGUCGGAAAACAAAAUACAACUGGCGACUGUUUACACUGACGACUCGGAUGACGUCAUCAAAAAAAAUGUUUACUCGCUAAAGAACUAGCCUUGUCUCUGUAAGCCGUGUUAGUGCGGCACUGUGGUUGAAACCAAGGCGUUGUACUAUAGGUGAACCGCAAUGUCAAAAUUGCUGUUCGGCCAUUGCUCGUGAAAAAACAAAUUUGUUUACAAAACAAGUCGUAUUUGUUGGUGACAAAUGCAUUCGUUGGCAAAAUAGCUGCUCGCGCUUUAUUGUCGAAUCAUAACAGUGCAGAAAGAUGUUUUAGUAUAUCUUUUCGCCUUUCUUUCCAAGCAAAAUGUACUUCUGUUUGGCUCCCAUCGGCGGGGAAAAGAGUACUAUCAGCUUACGGCGAUGGUGACAAAAAAUAACGCUGAUUGUGGCUCCACUGAUUUCGCUCAGGGAGGAGGAGAAUGCUGUGCAUAUACCGGGAAGGAGAUCCGGAAAGGGCCGUUACAAGUAAUUGGCUAGAGCAAAAGGAGUUGUGUAAAAGAUGUCAGUGUUAAGAACGACUGAUCCAAUGAAGCAAGUUCGGGAGCAUAUUCGAGAGAAAGCUACAAAAUGCAUAGUUCCUGCAUGCAAAAACUACACUGGAAUGCCCAAAAAUAAGAUUUUCUUCCGUGUUCCACCCACUAAUUGUACGGUGUAUCAGAAAUGGUUCCGUUUUGUACUCCUGUCGGGAAAUCGAACAGAAAGGAUUUGCAGCGAUCAUUUCUGCGAUGCGGAUUUUAUUAAAUACACCCGACUGAAACUGAAGAAUCAUGUAGUUCCUUCUGUGAAGCUUACGUCUUGUAAUCACGAAGAGAAACUUGGGAGAUUAUCCUGUGUAGCCGGUUGUCAUACUAAAAGACGAAGGUGUUUGGAAACAUUUCCAGUUGAUAAGGUAUUGUUAAAACGUUGGAAACGCGCACUUGGGAUAACAGUCUCUUCAAGUACGGUGGGCUGGAUGAUUUGCCACCAUCACUUCAUGAAAACUGACUUUCAAAAAACAAUUUCAACGUACCUCGAGCCAAAUACAGUUCCAUCUAAGAAGAUUAAACCAUUGAUACUAUUGAACACUUACAAAAUCACAAUUACAAUAAAUAUGAAGGACAUUCACUAAGUAAUCGAUUAUGCUUUGUGGCAGGUUGCCGGUCAAGGGUAACGGCAAGGAUUACUUUGUACAAGUUUCCUGCGCGGUCUGACAGCCGCUUCAAGAUUGAAACGAAUGCUAUUUUUCUUCAUCGAAGAAAUCAAUUGAUGACGCAGAACCCAGUUUGCUAGAAGCGCCGGAUGAAACGAAGAUUGAAGUCAAUGAAUCCUCACCAAUUACAUGUUUAUCUUCUCCCGCCAAUAUUAACGAAGCACUAGAUGAAUCGAAGCAUAUGAAUGUAUAUAAUAAAAGUGCUACCAUGAGCAAUGUGGAAUCUAAAAUUUCGCUUGAUGUUGGGGACAUUUCCUGUAUAAAUCAAACCAACGAAGAUCUACAAACAUCGUUUAUUGUGCCUGAUUUUACGCAUUUAAAUAGUACAAAGUACUCAAUUUUGAAUGACACCCGUGGUUCGGCUAAUGUUCAGAAUCAAAGGAUCAAAGUGGAAUCAUCAAUUUUUCAAAUCACAGACGACCGAAGCGGAUGUUCGGAAUGUCUUCUUUCAGACCUUCUUUUGACGGACAAAGAAGUUAAUUCAUGGACCGGAUUACCGUCACUAACUUUACUUGAGGAAAUUUGUUUUGCCGUGAGAAGGAACGAAAGUUCUCAAUGCCUACAAUGGAUCGAGUGAUUCUCUCACUGACAAAGAUCAAACAAAACAUUUCUUUCGAGGCAAUUGGAAGUUUGUUCAGGAUAUCAGGUGUAACGGCUUCGAAAUACUUUUCACAUAUGGUUUCAGUUCUGGCUUCUUUAUUCAGACAGUUCAUACACUGGCCCACUAAAGAAGAGAUAAAGGAGAAUGUACCAAUGUGCUUCAGAGAGCACUUUCCUAAUGUAACAGUAGUACUUGAUUGCACAGAGGUGCCGGUAGCCUCUCUAAAUUGUUUAAACUGCAGGAAUUCAUCUUAUUCUAACUACAAAUGUCGAUGAACGGUCAAGUGGGAGUAACACCUGCUGCUUUAAUAUCCUUCGUAAGCAAGGCAUAUUCCGGAAAAACUUCCGAUUAAUUUAUUUUUAACAGCGAUAGAUUAAUAGAUCGGUUGACGCCACAUGUGGAUGAAAUCAUGGUUGACAAGGGAGUGUCUAUAGAAACAGAGUGUUCAGCGAAAUGCAUUAAACUUCAUAUGCCGCCAUUCAUGAGAGGUGGGAGGCUAUCUCCAUCAGAAGCAAGCAGAAACGAAGCAAUCGCACGAGCCCGUAUACACGUUGAACGAGUCAUCCAACGUAUCAAACUAUUUGGUAUUCUGCGUGAUACUAUCACCACUAAUAUUCUGGCAUUUAUCGAUGAUAUAAUGGAUAUCAUUUGUGUUAUAG